rnacentral:rRNA from 1 species
ACGCUCGACACCUACGGAGGCAGCAGUGGGGAAUAUUGCACAAUGGGGGAAACCCUGAUGCAGCGACGCCGCGUGAGCGAAGAAGUAUUUCGGUAUGUAAAGCUCUAUCAGCAGGGAAGAAAAUGACGGUACCUGACUAAGAAGCCCCGGCUAACUACGUGCCAGCAGCCGAGGUAAUCUGAGCGGGCUGGCAAGGC